rnacentral:ncRNA from 2 species
UUUGUAUCAUGAGUGCGGCGAGGGUUUCAGCCCGAUGACCCGCCGGCAACCCCGAUGAAAUACCUUUCGGAUGGUGCCAAAUCUGAACUUUGCAAAAGAAAGAUACAGG